rnacentral:lncRNA from 1 species
AUGACAGCAGGAGAAGGAAUGAGUGCAGCACCUGAGCGCAGAGCCUCGGUGGCCCCGGCCCUCCCCACCCUCCAGGCUCCUUCAGGCCGGAAGCUCGCCUCCCUGCACCCGAGGGGAGUUGUGCUCCAGGCCGUGCUGCGGAAGCCCAGACACCGCAGGCAUUCCGGACACCAGGUAAAGGGGAGAGGGCUUCCCCGGAGACCACCCUGGGCACUGGCACCGGGAGGGUGGCUUCUCGGCGCUGCUGCCUUCUCUCCAGCAGCAAAGGGACAAAACCACGAAGAGCAGGAGAAACACAGAGCAACUGCAGAGAAAACCCGGAGUUUUCAUCCCGGACGGCAGCUCACACACCUACAAGGGGCACGACACAUUACUUUGCUCCGUGGUGCGCAACUGCCACAUUCUCUUCCUCUACUCAUCUGCCAGUGGACAGGGGCUGCAGCUCAUCUCUGGAGCACGACCUUUGACUCUUUGGGGAAGACACCCAGAGCGGAGCAGCUGGGUCAAAGGGAGUCUCUGGUCUUGGAUUCUGUGAGGCAUCUCCACGCUGACUUCCGCGGUGCGUGGGGGAGUGAUAAGGGAUGCAAACAGGAAUUCAGAUGAGUUACUUACAGCACCGACUUCUCACAAGGAAUGUGAUCACGUCAUACUGCACACGUGUAAUAAACUAAUAUUUUUAAAAAGACUCCCAGGGGUCUGGCCGCAUAGAGCAGCUGACAUUCCAGCUGCAAUAAGUUUAAUUUUUAAAUUUUGAGUAGAGCCUUUCAUAAUUCAUUAUAAAAUAACUUUAAAACAAUGAUGUAUUCCUAGUUUUAAUCUUACCACAUUUUGAGAAUAAAAUACUCCCCAGAGAAGUGUUUAUUAUAAUUGAAGAUAAUGGGAAGAAGGUUCCCCAAAGACGCCUGGCUCUGUGCGGGUCCGGAGUGACAGUUCCACGCGUGCGCGAGCACUGUCGCCUGCGCCUGGGAGGUGGGGGGCGGGGCAGAGCCAGGCGGAGAAGGAAGCCGGC